UCGAGAAUUUUUCUCAAUGGGGGCAACCCUGAAGGAGCGACGCCGCGUGGAGGAUGAAGGUCUUCGGAUUGUAAACUCCUGUCAUUAGGGAACAAGGUGCGAGGGUUAACUGCCUUCGUAUUGAUAGUACCUGAAGAGGAAGAGACGGCUAACUCUGUGCCAGCAGCCGCGGUAAUACAGAGGUCUCGAGCGUUGUUCGGAUUCAUUGGGCGUAAAGGGUGCGUAGGUGGCGGGGCAAGUCAGGUGUGAAAUCCCGGAGCUUAACUCCGGAACUGCAUUUGAUACUGCCUUGCUGGAGUACUGGAGAGGAGACUGGAAUUUACGGUGUAGCAGUGAAAUGCGUAGAGAUCGUAAGGAAGACCAGUGGCGAAGGCGAGUCUCUGGACAGUUACUGACACUGAGGCACGAAGGCCAGGGGAGCAAACGG
rnacentral:rRNA from 1 species